AUGACCUCAGCAAUGUUUGUACUUUCUCCUAAACAACGGACUUGUCUACUUCUGAGAGCUGAAUCCCACAGCAGUUUUCCUGUCUGGUUAUUGAAGACCUUCCAGAGAGAUUCCCGGGGAACUCUGACUGUGAAGUGCCUUUACUCAGCCUCAGGGUACCCAGCUAUGUUCUGUCUGGUAUGUCCAGUAUCCCGGACAGAGUCUGCAAAUCCUUCUGAAAGCUGUAGCGGACAAGGACAAGGCAAGAAGCAAAGGUUUUGAAGCCACCUACCAGAAAGACUCUAAUUCCUUCCACUUGAAGAAAGCCUCAGCGCAAGAGUCAGACUCAGCUGUGUACUACUGUGCCCUGAGUGACACAGUGACAGAAACUGCAGGGGGAGCUGAGUGCAAACUGAGCAGCAGAAGGGGCCUGGCUGCCGAGUGUUUUUGUUUCUACUCUGUUCAGGACCAGGAGUUGGCCCACUACUGUGGUCACUCAGGGCUCUGUCCAGCACGCCCAUUGGUGGGAAGAGCAUCCAGACCAACCCUGGAAGCAUAA